ensembl:snoRNA small nucleolar RNA SNORD89
GCUGGGAGAUGAUGUGAACAAAAGGCCGAAUUGCAGCGCCCCCGCCAGGCAGCACGUUCUCAGAGCGGGACGCAGUGACAAAAACCAGACUGAAGCAUUGCUGAUCCCAGA